rnacentral:rRNA from 1 species
GAUGAACGCUGGCGGCGUGCCUAAUACAUGCAAGUCGAGCGAACAGACGAGGAGCUUGCUCCUCUGACGUUAGCGGCGGACGGGUGAGUAACACGUGGAUAACCUACCUAUAAGACUGGGAUAACUUCGGGAAACCGGAGCUAAUACCGGAUAAUAUAUAGAACCGCAUGGUUCAAUAGUGAAAGACGGUUUUGCUGUCACUUAUAGAUGGAUCCGCGCCGCAUUAGCUAGUUGGUAAGGUAACGGCUUACCAAGGCAACGAUGCGUAGCCGACCUGAGAGGGUGAUCGGCCACACUGGAACUGAGACACGGUCCAGACUCCUACGGGAGGCAGCAGUAGGGAAUCUUCCGCAAUGGGCGAAAGCUUGACGGAGCAACGCCGCGUGAGUGAUGAAGGUCUUCGGAUCGUAAAACUCUGUUAUUAGGGAAGGACAAAUGUGUAAGUAACUAUGCACGUCUUGACGGUACCUAAUCAGAAAGCCACGGCUAACUACGUG